UGAGGAAUAUUGGUCAAUGGGCGGAAGCCUGAACCAGCCAUGCCGCGUGCAGGACGACGGCCCUACGGGUUGUAAACUGCUUUUCCGGGGGAAGAAUAACCCCCCUGCGGGGGGGGAUGCCGGUACCCCGGGAAUAAGGAUCGGCUAACUCCGUGCCAGCAGCCGCGGUAAUACGGAGGAUCCUAGCGUUAUCCGGAUUUACUGGGUUUAAAGGGUGCGUAGGCGGGCGCUUAAGUCCGCGGUGAAAGUCUGCGGCUCAACCGUAGGAGUGCCGUGGAUACUGGGGGUCUUGGAUUCGGUCGGGGCGGGCGGAAUGCGUGGUGUAGCGGUGAAAUGCGUAGAGAUGUGGAGGAAUACCGAUGGCGAAGGCAGCCCCCUGGGUUAGUACUGACGCUCAUGCACGAAAGCGUGGGGAGCAAACA
rnacentral:rRNA from 1 species